UACGUAGCAGCGAGCGUUGUUCGGAGUUACUGGGCGUAAAGCGUGCGCAGGCGGUUGUGUAAGUCUGUCGUGAAAUCCCCGGGCUCAACCUGGGAAUUGCGAUGGAGACUGCACGGCUAGAGUGUGUCAGAGGGGGGUAGAAUUCCACGUGUAGCAGUGAAAUGCGUAGAUAUGUGGAGGAACACCGAUGGCGAAGGCAGCCCCCUGGGAUAACACUGACGCUCAUGCACGAGAGCGUGGGGAGCAAACAGG
rnacentral:rRNA from 1 species